CCUACGGGAGGCAGCAGUGGGGAAUAUUGGACAAUGGGGGAAACCCUUAUCCAGCGACGCCGCGUGAGGGAAGAAGGUUUUCGGAUUGUAAACCUCUGUCAGUGGGGACGAUAAUGACGGUACCCACGGAGGAAGCCACGGCUAACUACGUGCCAGCAGCCGCGGUAAUACGUAGGGGGCAAGCGUUGUCCGGAAUUACUGGGUGUAAAGGGAGCGUAGGCGGGAUGUCAAGUCAGAAGUGAAAAUUAUGGGCUCAACUCAUGAACUGCUUUUGAAACUGAUAUUCUUGAGUGAAGUAGAGGCAAGCGGAAUUCCUAGUGUAGCGGUGAAAUGCUUAGAUAUCACGAAGAACCCCGAUUGCGAAGGCAGCUUGCUGCAGCGUUACUGACGCUGAAGCUCGAAAGCGCGGGUAGCGAACAGGAUUAGAUACCCUAGUAGUC
rnacentral:rRNA from 1 species